AUUGAACGCUGGCGGCAGGCCUAACACAUGCAAGUCGAACGAGUGGCGGACGGGUGAGUAAUGUCUGGGAAACUGCCCGAUGGCGGGGGAUAACUACUGGAAACGGUAGCUAAUAACGCAUACCAUCCGAUUUGCCCAGUUGGGAGUAGCUAGUCGGUGGGGUAAUGGCUCACCUAGGCGACGAUCCCUAGCUGGUCUGAGAGGUUGACCCGCCACACUGGAACUGAGACACGGUCCAGACUCCUACGGGAGGCAGAAGUGGGGAAUAUUGCACAAUGGGCGAAAGCCUGAUGCAGCCAUGCCGCGUGUAUGAAGAAGGCCUUCGGGUUGUAAAGUACUUUCAGCGGGGAGGCGUUACUCGCAGAGGAAGCACCGGCUAACUCCGUGCCAGCAGCCGCGGUAAUUC
rnacentral:rRNA from 1 species